CAAUACUCCUUUGUUGGUUUACAUUUUUCCUGCUAUCAAGAGAUCAGUGCAUUCACACACAUAUACAGGACACCUAUUUCAGAGAUACAUACUGUCCUUGUUUUAUGCUUAUCAUGUGGCAUAAAGGCAUAAAAGAGACCCGAUGUUGAUCUGUGAUACCAAUGCACAGGCUAAGUCUUGUUGUACAAUUCUACAGUUUCAUUUAGCAGAUGGUUUUAUCCAAAGCGACGCACAUCUGAAAGUAGAUACAACACAAGCAAGGAUCUAGUCAGGAGAAAACUACCUGGAUAAGUGCUAUAAUACAAGUUCAAGUAGGAUAAUAGGACCUUGGUGCUUACAGGCAUUGUGGGAGGUAAUAGGAAUUUUUUUUUUUUUUUCUGUUUACAGUCUGUCAGGCACAAAGUUGUUCAGUGAAGAGCUGGGUUCUUAGUCUUUUCUUAAAGACUGAGAGAGACUCUGCAGAUCGAACAGAGUUUGGUUCCACCAUCUGGGAACCACAGAGGAGAAGAGUCUAGCUAUCGACCGGAACUGCUGUGGUGGUCGUAUCAGGCGUCUUUUGUUGGCCGAGCGUUGGCCGAGUUCAGAUGUUCAGAGGGAGAUGAUGCCACAUCUGGUCCAGCCGAUGGAAGGUCUUGAAGUUCUCUGACUGGCCUCGACUGAAGAUGGUCGUCUCACUGGAUUUAAGGUUCAGAUGCUCAGUAACAAACUCCACCAAUGAGCCAACAGGGAAGCUUUAGGUUUAUUAAAUGUUGCUAUGAAGGUUUCGCUGUUUUUCUUUGUGAAUGCAAUGUGCUCCAACUGAAACCUGAAUUAGAACUUAGAAGUAAUUUUUUAUUCCAGUCUUGGUUGGAAAUAGAAUCUCUGUAUUGAUUCAGGUAAAAACUGAACUUCACAGCAUGUUGGAGCAAAACAACCAGAUGAAAACUGUGAUGGUGUUGGAUUGUCAGACCGUAAUGUUGCAGCUCAAAGCAGCUUUUCUAGCUCAGUUCAUUCUGACAUUCAGCUAUGAAUCAACACAGCAGAUGGUGAUCCAUGCUGUGGAAGUCUCACAUCUCCUGAUUUAAUGGAGCUGCUUUGCACUUUUUACACUGUUUAUUCACCAACACUUUAUUUAAUAAAAGUCCCAUCUAGUUUUUAUGAGGAAUGUGAUGUUUUAAUUUCUCUGUGAAUAACUGCAGUCUAAUGGAACAGCUGGAGUUGUAACAUCUGUCCUGAUAUUGAUCAUGAAGUAUUGAUCAGAAUACUUAUGGUCAGCAGUCAUCCCUGAAGUUUUACAUUAAAAUCUUUACUUGUGUUGUGAACUUUGGUAAGAAGCAGAAACGUUAGCGUUGCCAUGGAUACAUGAGUGUUAAAUUCAGUUCAUGUUUCCAUUUUGGGAAAUGCAGUCCAGUUCCAGAAUGUGGAGGAAUUUAGUCUCACAAUCACAGACAAUAAAUAUUAUCUGAAAGUCGAGUUUUUGUUGUUUAUGAGCACAAUACAAAAAGAUUCAUGUUAGAAAUAUUCCAGUUAAGACUCUAGAAUAUCAUGAUUUAUGUACAUUUACCUCAAUAAUAUGAAUGUUCAGGUUAAGAUUGUGCAGUGAUAUUUAUUAUGUAAGUUUAGCUGAUUAAAGUUUAUGACUCUGCACUAAAAUAUUGUUUAAAUUGACAUCAUUAUUAUAAUAUUUAGGGUCAGACCCUACAGUAUUGAGAUUAAGAAAUCAAAUAUUCUAUAAAAUGUAAAUUAACUGAACUAAUCUGGAUAUAUUUAAGUGAGACUCUACAAUAUUAUUUGACACAAAUCUAAAUCAAAAUUUUAAUAAUUUUCACGCCACACAUUUACUGGACUGAUUUAAACAUUAAAAUCGCUCCUUUCUAAUCCUCUGCUGUACGUUCAAACCUGAGGCCUUAAAUAGAAACACUCAAGUAUCUGAUUGAAGGAACUUCUGCAGAGUCCUGGUUCCAGAACAUGAUGAUAGAAUUAUAGACAAACUUUAACAAAAGCUGCCUGAGAGUUUACAGCUUUUUAUGUUGGAUUUCUUCAGUAAUUUAAUGAGUUAUCAGCAAAAAUCAAGUGUUCAUUUGAUGAACUUCAUUUCCUAAAACAUCCAGAAUUGGAGCUCAUAUCUUUGGCAGCUGUAAAGUUUCUGCUCCUUCAAAGUUCACAACACAAUGAAUGAAUUCCUAAAACACUCUCAGUGCUGGAGAGCAUUUGUGAUGCUGAAGCAGUGACCAGUUUUUCUGUUUCUUCUCUGGAGAUGCACAAUGAGGGACGUCUGCAGAGACUGAGAAAGAGUCUCACCACAUCCUGACAUGAGGAAAAAGACUUUAUUGAAGACUACAAUGAGAAAAACUAUCAGACAGCAGACGGCUGCAUUCAAGGUGAGAUCUGAACAUUUGAUCUGGAACAGGAAUUCAAUAACGGCAGCAUGAGCUUCAUUUCAGUCUGUAGCUGCUGAAUUCAUGGAUGAAUCAUCUGGCACUAGAGAGGAAGACCAUCAAACAUCCACGUCAGCUGAUGGAGGUCCAAGAGUCUCACCCAACAAACAACCUACAGAGUGAAGACCUCCAAUCUGAUUGGACGGCCUCCUAUUCAGCCACAUGUGUGAACAAAUGCCUCUAAGCUGAUUUGUUUUCUAAAAUAAAUCUAGUUUGAGUCCUAA